UUUCUUUGGUAAUGUGACUGAUCAUGGAGACAGUAGCACCAGAUCUGCUUCUGUUUACUGUUGGAUCGGCAAGAAUAAUCAUCAUUUAUGCCAGAGUUGUAAAUUUUUAGAAAGGUGAUGGAGUUGCAGCUCCAUAUUGAUUGAGACAGGGUUGCUGUGAUGAGUGGCAACUGGCACUAGACAUGGUUGUUUCUUUGAUCGAUAUUGCAGAAGCAGGUAAAAAAGUUGCAACCUUCAUGAUGUUAACUUGAAAGUAAAUUCAUGUGAGAAUAUGUUCAUCAGAAUAUUUGCUUUGCUGAAUAAUGAAAUGUCGGAAAAAAAAAAAUGAUCAAUCAAGUGUUAUAUGGAUUAAUAGAUCGCUCUUAGGAUUCAAUUAAGGAUGACUCCUGUUAGGAUUUGGUAUUUUGCCUCUGUCUCAGGUUCCAUUUGGGUGUUCUUGAUCUUACUUUAGUAGAAUGGGGUGAGCUCAGGUCCUCAAGAGUCAAGAAUAAAGUUGCUGUAGUGUAUGCUGACAUGCUUCUUUUACUGAAUCUAUGUGUUCACUUGACCGAGUAACUGUACCCUUUUACGUGGAGUGAAAUUGUGUAAUUCCGAUUUGGUAACUCACUCUCAUUGCUAAUAUUUUCUUAUCAUGCAACACGAAUUUGCUAAUUG